UCGCUCCUACCGAUCGAAUGAUCCGGUGAAGUUUUCGGACUAUCGCUGCGCGCGGGUUCGCCCAAGUGCAGUGAUGGGAAGUUACCUAAACCUUAUCAUUUAGAGGAAGGAG
rnacentral:rRNA from 1 species